AGCCAUUUUCAACUUUUAAUGAAGCAAUAAUUAUUGAAGUCCCGAUGGUUAUGAAGUUUUAUUUAAUUUGACCAGCACUUAUGGCCAAUUUUUUAAAAUACAAUAAAAUAAAAUUAAAAUUAUUCUAACAUAAAUAGCAGUUUUUGCGACAAAUACAAAGUUAUUGAUCCACCAGCUAGAACGGGACGAACAAAAUCUUAUUGAUUCGACAGGUCGGUUGAGUACAGUAUUAAUGAAAUCCAGUGUUGGUCGCUUCGCGGUUAGGCGAAGCGUUUGAUAUACAAACAAAUCAAAACUUAAGGUUUCAAUACAGCACCGCGUCAAACAACAACUUUACAGCCUUGCAUAACAAAGAACUAUUGUUGUCAUCGCCUUUGGUAUUAAUCCAACGAAGG